GGUGGUGGAGUAGUGACUAAUGCUGGCCAUGAAACUUUAAGCAACGGGAUUGGAUGUCUUUUUUUCAUCAUGCUUAAAAUGAAAAGGGAGCAUGGGAAGCCACAGGAGGCACCUGUCCCACUUUCAGCGUCCCGGCACCAGCUGACGUGAGAGCACCGGCGUGGGGGACGAAGGAGUCAAGGCGCACAAAAGAGGGGGAAGCCAGGGAGAAAUGCAGCAGAGGGCAGGCUACUCAAAACACCAGCAAAACACCAGCAACGAGUCCAGCACAGACCUGAGCACAGACACCGCUUUCAGAGCUUGGAAGGUAUUUAGCCAGGUCCAUAGGCCCAAUGAGAUGCCCUGGUAUGUAUUGCCAAUGGUCUAAUUAUCAGCAGGCCAGCAUUGAUCAUAUUUUCAGUUAGUCGUUUACGUGGGUGUUCAGUCAUACUUGUUGUAGCCUACUUCUCAAUGCAAAGACUUCAUCAGGAAUACAGGAUCCUACAUGUAUGGUCCAUUCCAUCAGUAGAAGUUUUUGAAAUUAUAACCUUUCUAUCAUCUUAUGUUGUGAGGAAUGUAGAACAUAGGUUUUUUAAAAUGUGUUCAAAAAGGCUGAAAGUCUGAUUUCAGACUCAGUUCUUAGUGGGUAUGUUUGCAGUGCACAUUCCUUUUCGACAGAUUGCAAAUACCACAGAAAUGAUUCUGUACUUCAACAGACCAAUGAAUAUUUCAUAUCCUGAUAUCACUUUUAAGGCAAAAUGAAUUAAUGAAACUAAGUUGAUAGGGCAUAUCUUACAUCAGCUCAAUUAUAACACGCUGUAAAUUCGAAAUGUUAAUAAUUAUUGAACGGAAUAAUUGUAUAUUAAACAGAAAAAGCUGAAUGUUAAUCAUGGCCUAUUAGUGGCACUUUAGUAGUUUCAGAUGAACUCCCGGCUGUAUUUCAAACACUCGAUGGGAUAAUGUGGAACUGAACUCGAAUGCCAUUUGGAAAAAAAGGUGUUCAUUGAAAAGCCUGAAGACUAAGAAAGGCGGUGGGUAAACCCUCCGACAACAGAACGGUGCAGCAUGACGGGCAUCUCGGACUGGCCAGCUAUUCUUUCCAUCCCUCACCUAGGCUCUGAAAUGGAAAUGGCUUCUUUUGCUCAUUAUUGUCAGUUUCUCUGUUUCCAAGGCUGU